rnacentral:lncRNA from 1 species
GUGGAAAGAUUAGAUCAAAGCCCUAUUUUCUAUUUAUUUUUAUUUAUAAAAAGAUAUUUAUUUUUAUAUAAUAAGCGUCGCCAACAACUCCCCCACACUUGGUCCUUUGCUCGUCCUCGAGUGAUGGCACUUAGGACCAAAUGGGUUCAUCAUCCUUGUCAAAGAGCCUGCAUACAGGUUAUUCCAAGCUUCACCACAUAAAUCUUUGGUAAUUGAAAUAUGGAACAGCCUGGAUUCAAGUUCUCUUGACUUUGCUCUUACUUAAGACACUUGGGUUUUUGUAACUUUUUGAAAUAAAAAACAUGGCUGUGAUUCCUUGAAUGCUUCUCUCAAAUCACUCAUAUGUGUAAGUGGUUCCUUACCAAGGCAUAGAAGAUUGAUGCCUUCUUAUGAUCUUCCUACCUCUAAAAGCUUUAUCUGGAUUUUUGAGUAGGUAUAAAAGAUGGGCAUACUUGCAGCACAUAUGGUGCGAAGUCAAAAACCGGACCACCAGGAGAUACAAGCCUUACGCCUUGAUUGAUAUUGUGCAAGUGUAUGGAAAUUGUUUGUGGAAUUGAUGGAAAUUCUAAUUCUAAAUAUUUUUGGUCACUCCUUUUUGCAUCAUGACUCUCUUUUAUUUUGAAGGAUAAAAGAGAGAGAGAGGAAAACAUAUGGGCUUUAUCUUGUGUAUAUUUUUCCCUCUUUUCUUUUUUUUCAUUAUGGGGAUAUUUGAUUUUUUUUCUUUCUUUCCCAUCUAUGCUUCUUUGGGUUUUUUCCUUUGAAUUUUUUUUCAACUAUAGCCCAUAUGUCUUGAUGAAUGGAAUUAGAGAAAUUUAAAGAGAUGUCAUGAGGACAAAAAGUAAGGCGUGAAUUUGGGGAUGCGCAAAUCUCGGGAUGAGAGUUUGGCAUUUUUAUUUGGUGGAAAGCUAAGGCACAACUCUCAGGAUAAGAGUUGGCAAAAUUUUUGGUGGAUGGAAGGGUGCAUGUUGUGCGCGACUUCUUAUUGUAAGAGUCGGCUUUAUUUGGUGGGUGUAAGUGAAUCUCUAAUCAUGGGCGUAAGACCAUAAUCUCGCUUGGGUCACAACAAUUUGACAAAGCUCAACAUACUACAAGCAGCAUAUGACUGAAGGUUUCAUCAUGAUCAAAGUAUAUUUGGCGUUGGUAGGUGAAAGCUUAAAACCAUUAAAGGAAACUUGCCAUGUGUAACUUUUGUUUUUGAUAAAAUAAAUCCCAAGUACUUUGUAAGAACUUAGCAAAAAUCAUGUCAUCCUACUAUAUCACAUAUGUCAAUUACUUAGAUAAAGUGGGUCCCUACUACAAGUGUUCAUAACCUCAUGGAUAUUAGCAAGGAUUAAACCAUAUGCAAAGCAAAUUUGAAACUAGGAGACAUGUUAAAUGGAGUUUGAAGGUAACGAUAUUUUAAAUAUUUUAUUUUUGAAAAACUUUUUAGAAGGGGGAGAAGGUUGUGCAAACCAUGUUCUCAAAGAUUCCCUCCCCCACACUCGUUUUCUUCUCUGUCAUGGUUAGUCAUAAUAUAUAAAGAAAACAAGUGCUCAUGAUAACUCAGAAAUAUUAUUGAUAACUUUGAAAAGGCACAUUACAUUAUUGAAGGGAAAUAAAUUAUGCAACAAAGAAGAUCAUGCUUGUGCCUAAACAAAGAGAAGCGUGCAGCAGAUGUGGUCUAAAGAUUUUCCACGAGGCGACCAGCACCUAGUUUUUCAGCAGCCUUCAUCAGCUUAUUGUUGAACCUUAAACGAAACCAGUUGAUAUCGUUGUUGGGCAUUCUUAACGUCACUAUCAAAAGUAGACUUAGUUUUCUAAUUCUGAUAACGGCGCCAAAAAUGCCAAACCUAUCCCUCAUGGCACUUAAGCCAAGUUGUCAUCCCCAGCAUGACAUGAGAGACGCGGUAUUGAAAUAUGCAAUUGCUCUUCUAAAUAAAUAAUAAAUGAGAUCUGCAAGCGCACAGACUAAUACCGAUGUAGCAUUUUAACCGGGAAGUACUCCAGGUAUCGUUAUUUAUAUUUUUACCACUGGAAAGGGAUUUCUAAACAUCAAUGUUGAUUAUGGAAUGGAAUAUAGGAUUGAGCAUCUAUCAUUGCAUGUAUAAUUGAGAGCAUUUAUCUAUCUCUUUCAUACAUGGAUAAGUGUCACAUAAAAGAUAGAUAAAGUAUGAAUGGUGACAAAGAUAAUUAAUCUAAUCAUAACUUAGCCACAUAUAAAUAUGAUAAGCACCUCAAUAGAUAUUCUAGUAAGUCAUUAGCAUGGAACUAGGACGAACUACAAGAAUAUUUCCUAAGUUAUUCUUAACUAUACAGUCUAGCAUAUCAUAGUUAGUGCAAUUAUACUUGGCAAUCAUUGCGAGACAGGACUACGCCCAUGC